rnacentral:lncRNA from 1 species
UCAUUUUCAUACAAAAAAAAUACAUUCAAAAAUUAAUAUAAAUUCCUUCCAAGCAUUCUCAUAACAUUUCACAACAAAUAUCAAGCUAAUGAAGUUGUAGGAAGUCAUUUCUUACCUUCUUAAAGCUUUUUCACUUUGACUUUAACUUUUCUCACUAAAACUUUAUAAACCCUAAACUAAAAUUAAUUAAAGUGAUGGAAGACAUGAGCUUAGAAGGUUGUUUCCAUGGAAAACAGUAUCUAAAGGUGGGAGGUGAAACUUUUAAGAGAAAAUGGAGAAGAAAACCAGAAAAUGGAAAGGUGGAAGAAGAAGAGC